GCGACGCGCUGGCCGUUGACCGUGGCGCUCCGGCCCCUCUACGUCCGAGCGGGGACUCGGAGACCGCGGCGACCAGAAACUGCGUUUCACAUUUGGGAGAGUGGAGUUGGGGGGAAACCAGCUCUGACCCUUAGGUCAGUUCAUCCCCCCCACGCCGGGGCCGCACGGUCCCCGCUGUCGCACCAAAACCUGGCCCAAGCACCCAUUUUUCGAUCAUCAUCUUUGAUUGAUCACACAGCGCGAGUUUGAGUUUCCAGUAGGGAAACUGUACUUCUACUCUCCCGCACUUCAUUUAACGUGUGAUUAGUUACAACAAAUCCCCAAAUUCCUUAAUCUUGAAAAUUAUAUGUAAAUAAAAAUCUGUAUGGGAUACAAAAUAAAACAUGUAAGUGGAAAA